rnacentral:lncRNA from 1 species
UCAACUGGCCACAAGUGAAACGUUCCCGACGAACAAACUCGUAGGUGAAUGUCGCUGUACCAGUUUGUCUGAAAAUCAUCAGCUGUUGAAUACUUUAUGCAUUUUUUGGUGAGUAAAAAUGUCUAUGUAUCGUCAGUAACGUCAGUGUUGAACCCUUGUAACUGAAUCCCCAGCUGUCCUUCAGGAGCCGAGCCCGCCUCCAGAGUGACCUUCCUCAGCGGACACGCCCCGUCCACCUGUUCCACAGGUGCGCCCGGCAAGAUGGCGGCGGGACGAGUUUCUGCGGCGUUUGGUGACAAAAGGAUUUAAAGCAGGGGCCUCCGGUUAAAAAAAGGGUUUUUCAACGGUACUUUCUGCGGCUCCUGCUCCUCUGCGCUCCGACGAUCUCCUCUCCAGCUCCGCUCCAGCAACUCCUUGUGACAAAGGAUUUCAAGAACGCGCCUGGAGUUAUGAAAGUUGUUUCCCCCAGGGUAAGUAAUGCUACCUUUCGCUAUACCAUUUCUAUUUGUGUAACUCCGUAAUACAACACCUGCUUCUCUGCAUUUUAACACCAGACCGGGUUUAUCCCAAGCUUCGUUUCGUUGUGCUUUUGUUGAAUAGAGAUAGGAAACUCUAAGUCGCAGA